rnacentral:rRNA from 1 species
AUAAUGGGUCAGCGACUUAUAUUCUGUAGCAAGGUUAACCGAAUAGGGGAGCCGAAGGGAAACCGAGUCUUAACUGGGCGUUAAGUUGCAGGGUAUAGACCCGAAACCCGGUGAUCUAGCCAUGGGCAGGUUGAAGGUUGGGUAACACUAACUGGAGGACCGAACCGACUAAUGUUGAAAAAUUAGCGGAUGACUUGUGGCUGGGGGUGAAAGGCCAAUCAAACCGGGAGAUAGCUGGUUCUCCCCGAAAGCUAUUUAGGUAGCGCCUCGUGAAUUCAUCUCCGGGGGUAGAGCACUGUUUCGGCAAGGGGGUCAUCCCGACUUACCAACCCGAUGCAAACUGCGAAUACCGGAGAAUGUUAUCACGGGAGACACACGGCGGGUGCUAACGUCCGUCGUGAAGAGGGAAACAACCCAGACCGCCAGCUAAGGUCCCAAAGUCAUGGUUAAGUGGGAAACGAUGUGGGAAGGCCCAGACAGCCAGGAUGUUGGCUUAGAAGCAGCCAUCAUUUAAAGAAAGCGUAAUAGCUCACUGGUCGAGUCGGCCUGCGCGGAAGAUGUAACGGGGCUAAACCAUGCACCGAAGCUGCGGCAGCGACGCUGAUGCGUUGUUGGGUAGGGGAGCGUUCUGUAAGCCUGCGAAGGUGUGCUGUGAGGCAUGCUGGAGGUAUCAGAAGUGCGAAUGCUGACAUAAGUAACGAUAAAGCGGGUGAAAAGCCCGCUCGCCGGAAGACCAAGGGUUCCUGUCCAACGUUAAUCGGGGCAGGGUGAGUCGACCCCUAAGGCGAGGCCGAAAGGCGUAGUCGAUGGGAAACAGGUUAAUAUUCCUGUACUUGGUGUUACUGCGAAGGGGGGACGGAGAAGGCUAUGUUGGCCGGGCGACGGUUGUCCCGGUUUAAGCGUGUAGGCUGGUUUUCCAGGCAAAUCCGGAAAAUCAAGGCUGAGGCGUGAUGACGAGGCACUACGGUGCUGAAGCAACAAAUGCCCUGCUUCCAGGAAAAGCCUCUAAGCAUCAGGUAACAUCAAAUCGUACCCCAAACCGACACAGGUGGUCAGGUAGAGAAUACCAAGGCGCUUGAGAGAACUCGGGUGAAGGAACUAGGCAAAAUGGUGCCGUAACUUCGGGAGAAGGCACGCUGAUAUGUAGGUGAAGUCCCUCGCGGAUGGAGCUGAAAUCAGUCGAAGAUACCAGCUGGCUGCAACUGUUUAUUAAAAACACAGCACUGUGCAAACACGAAAGUGGACGUAUACGGUGUGACGCCUGCCCGGUGCCGGAAGGUUAAUUGAUGGGGUUAGCGCAAGCGAAGCUCUUGAUCGAAGCCCCGGUAAACGGCGGCCGUAACUAUAACGGUCCUAAGGUAGCGAAAUUCCUUGUCGGGUAAGUUCCGACCUGCACGAAUGGCGUAAUGAUGGCCAGGCUGUCUCCACCCGAGACUCAGUGAAAUUGAACUCGCUGUGAAGAUGCAGUGUACCCGCGGCAAGACGGAAAGACCCCGUGAACCUUUACUAUAGCUUGACACUGAACAUUGAGCCUUGAUGUGUAGGAUAGGUGGGAGGCUUUGAAGUGUGGACGCCAGUCUGCAUGGAGCCGACCUUGAAAUACCACCCUUUAAUGUUUGAUGUUCUA